GACGAACGCUGGCGGCGUGCUUAACACAUGCAAGUCGAACGGAAAGGCCCUGCUUUUGUGGGUUGCUCGAGUGGCGAACGGGUGUGUAACACGUGAGUAACCUGCCCUUGACUUUGGGAUAUCUUCAGGAAACUGGGGCUAAUACCGGAUAGGAGCUCCUGCUGCAUGGUGGGGGUUGGAACGUUUCGGCGGUUGGGGAUGGACUCGCGGCUUAUCAGCUUGUUGGUGGGGUAGUGGCUUACCAAGGCUUUGACGGGUAGCCGGCCUGAGAGGGUGACCGGCAACAUUGGGACUGAGAUACGGCCCAGACGCCAACGGGAGGCAGCAGUGGGGAAUAUUGCACAAUGGGCGGAAGCCUGAGGCAGCAACGCCGCGUGCGGGAUGACGGCCUUCGGGUUGUAAACCGCUUUCGCCUGUGACGAAGCGUGAGUGACGGUAAUGGGUAAAGAAGCACCGGCUAACUACGUG
rnacentral:rRNA from 1 species